AUGGAACAGGGCAAUGCAAAGGAAUUUUGGAGGAAAAGACGUCGUGUUUUCUCUCGAUGUGUCUGUAGAAUCGUAACCAUAGAAUAUGACCCUAAUCGAAAUGCAUACAUUUGUCUCAUACACUAUGGGGAUGGUGAGAAGAGAUAUAUUUUACAUCCUAGGGGGGCUAUAAUUGCAGAUACUGUUGUUUCUGGUACAAAAGUUUCUAUAUCAAUAGGAAAUGCCCUAUCUUUUAGUGCGAUUUGA
rnacentral:rRNA from 1 species